rnacentral:rRNA from 1 species
CUCGCUGGUGAUUCAUGAUAACCUCUCGAAUCGCACGGCCUUGCGCCGGCGAUGGUUCAUUCAAAUUUCUGCCCUAUCAACUUUCGACGGCUGGGUCUUGGCCAGCCAUGGUGACAACGGGUAACGGAGGGUUAGGGCUCGACCCCGGAGAAGGAGCCGGAGGAACGGCUACUACAUCCAAGGAAGGCAGCAGGCGCGCAAAUUGCCCAAUCCCGACGCGGGGAGGCAGUGACGAUACAUACUGAUGCAGGGCUCUUUUGGGUCUUGCAAUUGGAAUGAGUACAAUUUAAAUCCCUUAACGAGGAACAAUUGGAGGGCAAGUCUGGUGCCAGCAGCCGCGGUAAUUCCAGCUCCAAUAGCGUAUAUUAAAGUUGUUGAGGUUAAAAAGCUCGUAGUUGAACCUUGGGCCCGGGCCGCCGGUCCGCCUCACCGCGAGCACUGGCGCGUCCGGGCCUUUCCCUCUGGGGAGCCGCAUGCCCUUCGCUGGGCGUGCCGGGGAACCAGGACGUUUACUCUGAACAAAUCAGAUCGCUCAAAGAAGGCCUACGCUCGGAUGCAUUAGCAUGGAAUAAUGGAAUAGGACGCGUGGUUCUAUUUUGUUGGUUUCUAGGACCGCCGUAAUGAUUAAUAGGGACAGUCGGGGGCAUCAGUAUUCCGUUGUCAGAGGUGAAAUUCUUGGAUUUACGGAAGACUAACUACUGCGAAAGCAUUUGCCAAGGAUGUUUUCAUUAAUCAGGAACGAAAGUUAGGGGAUCGAAGACGAUCAGAUACCGUCGUAGUCUUAACCAUAAACUAUGCCGAUUAGGGAUCGGACGGUGUUAUUUUGUGACCCGUUCGGCACCUUACGACAAAUCAAAAUGUUUGGGCU